GCAUUAAUGGGGUAGCGGUAACCUGGGUCGUUGCCAUGAUUAAGUAAACUCGACCCGCCGGGAGUUCGACUCUCCCUUAAUGCA